CUUCCCUAUCGUGCGGUUAUGUGGCAUUUGCUCCGUCAUGAACGACAAAACCAUCGUUCUUAUCUUCGUCGUGUACUAGACAAUUCAUUCCCGCCGCUGCAGACGACUUUCAUACGUACGACAAAGAAUUUUUCGGUGCAUGCAUCUCUUUGUGAUUUGAUCUCUCUCCUUCAAUGUGUGAAUCUAUAACUGCAGCGUUCAAUCGACCUCCAUCAUUCCAGGGAUGGCAAUUCUGUCGCACAAUUUCUCCUCUUCGAUCCGAACUGCAAUUGUUCCAUCAUUGGUGAUACUGAGCAAGAGAGACGAAGUUGAGUAUUUCACCUUUGCCGAUUUUUGGAGCUUCUAUGAUGGAGUGCUUGUGGUGCUGGAGUUCCAAUUUUUGUGAACAACAACGAGACCGUAAUAUAAAUCGUUAUGUCCCCUAUCUCUCUGCAAUCCAAAUCUAUACAAGCACUCCUUCAAGAAACGGUUUCGAUAUGGAUUACCAGCUCCGCUGGCACUAUUAAGGGCAGAGAAUAAUCUUCCUCCAUGGUGUUCUGGUAUGAAAGAGGUAACACACAGUAAUUGAUCGCACCUCCUAUAUAUAUUUGCUUUGAAAUUAUUAGUUCUAUUGUCGAAGUUCUAAAAUGGCGUCAAGUAGUUUAGGGUGCUAUAAGUUGGGUGACAUUUAGGUUGCUAAUGAGUGUUGUGGCUUUCUCAUCCGAGGUGGCGUGAGGUCUUCUCAGCUGAGCUUCAUCUCUGACAAUUCAACCAGUUGUUGCUUUACCCUCUUCAAGAUAUUUCUAGAACCUGAGCUGGCAACUAUAGUUCAUGCACCUGCUGGUUGCUGAUGCCAGGGUUGCUCACCUCAUCAGUUUCGUCGUCUUCCUUCAUAAGCUUACUAACAUCCACGGUUUUCGUUGUCUUUGUCCUAUCAUCAGGUUUUUACCAAUUUUGUGUUGCUUCCUUUGCCGUCAUUGUUCCUGUACUGCCACUUCAUCCUCAGGUAUAUUUUGGAAGGUUUCAAAAAUUGCCGCCUAACUAUUCUCCCAUUGGGCCAAGUGUUAAAGUGAAGGUUGUGGUGUGUCAAUAUUUUGGAAUCAUGUAUUGCGUGAGCGAUUGAGGUUCCCUCUUUUCUACUUUCUUUUCCAAUUUUCUUCUUCCUUCAAGCAGAUUUAGAAAUGUGUAUGCAUUAGAAUUAUACAAUUUUUAUUGAUUUUCACACUUCUUCAAUACAGGAUAAUUUAUUGUGGAGAUUACAAGAUAAUAUUUUUCACAUGAUAUAUUUAAUUGCAUGAUUUUUAUAAUUUA